GAUGAAGAACGCAGCGAAAUGCGAUAAGUAGUGUGAAUUGCAGAAUUCAGUGAAUCAUCGAAUCUUUGAACGCACAUUGCGCCCUUUGGUAUUCCUUAGGGCAUGCCUGUUCGAGCGUCAUUUAAACCUUCAAGCUAAGCUUGGUGUUGGGUGACUGCCCGCUUCACGGCGGACUCGCCUCAAAAUUAUUGGCGGCCGGUACAUUGGCUUCGAGCGCAGCAGAAACGCGAACUCGGGCCCGUCGUAUUGGCUCCCAGAAGCUAUCUUCACAAUUUUGACCUCGGAUCAGGUAGGGAUACCCGCUGAACUUAAGCAUAUCAAUAAGCGGAGGA
rnacentral:misc_RNA from 1 species